GGUGGAGUUAAUCACCUGAGUGAGUUCUCUGGGGCUUGCAGAUCUCAGGAUGAAGGCUGCAGGGUGUUGGGAGAACUGCUCAGUCAGGCUGUGCUCUCUGCCAGUGGAGCUUACUUGCACGCAGGAAAAAUACCCUUGAAAGUCUCUGGAAGAGUCUGCCACCUCUUCACUAGGACACAGUCAUCCUUUUCAGCUAAUAGCCCUGUGCUGGGUGUCAGCAUUGUGCCUGGAUCUUCAUCUCAAUGAUUAUCAAGCAAAUGGUUAAAAUCAAGGAGUUUUUAAGAGUAGAAGACCUCCCCCUGAUCAUCCAGCUCUAUGAGACCAAGUGCAGCCUGUUACAAGGUCCAAGGUACAGCUUGAUUUUAAACAUCUGCUGAAGUGCUUUUGUACUUUGAGUUGCUGGGAAAAAGUUACUGGUAUUCCUGGGUGGCAAUCUGUAAUUCACACCCGUCAGCAGAAAUGGGCAACAUGCUUCUCCUGGCCUUGGAGCCCACAGCUCGAUCUUGGUGUCCAUCUGGCCGUGGGUUUUGAGCCCCAGCCGAUAUUGCGUGUGCUUCUUGGACAAUCCCGCCUUUUUACGCACUUGCUGUUCCCUGACCCGCUGGCAGAGCCGCUUGCCCCCAUUAUUCAUCCUGACACACUUUGUAAUGCAUGGAGCCAGCCUGCGGCAUCCAGCCUGCAAAUUUCCCCAAGGCUGCAGAAAGGGGGAAAGAAAUAACCUGCAAGCAUAAGGACAUGCACGCAAACACGCUGUUCAUGUGUUUUCACACACUACGUGUGCAUGCAGACAUUUAUUCCUGCUCAUCUGCACACACAUAUGCAUUUUUUGGAUACUUGUAUCCCACCGGAUGAAAACCCGGAAAGUGGAAAAUGUGUUGAUAAAUAUAAGGGAACUUGUCAGGGCCUUUGAUUUGAAGCUGCAUCUUGUAGCAGCUUUCCAGUGUUGGGAUAAGAUAGGGAGAGGAAAGAGGGAAGAGAAAGCAAGAGUCAGGGGUAAAAGGAACAGAAUAGAGGGAAAAAGAGCAGGGGUGGAGAGAAAAAAAGUGGGGGCGAGAAAGGAAAAGGAAAAGUACAGAUAGCAAUGCUGCUGGAGUUUGUAUACCUUAACAUCUGAAAGGUCCAAAAGUUCUUGACCUAUAUUCCCUGUUGCAGAAGUGUAGUACAACAACACAGCAUGGUUUGUUUAAAACAUGGAAACUUGACUUCAUUCUUAUGUUUUGGAGAAAGAUUUCGCAAUGGCGCUGAGGAGAGAAAGCGAAAAGAUUUAGCUGUUCCCCCUUACAAUCUCCCUCCCUCUGCCUUUUGGCGUGCUUGAAAUCAAACCCACUUGCUUCUGAAAUAUUGUAGCAUUGCUGUUUUGAUGGAGCUAGGCUUGAAUUAAAACUUAAAAAGAAAAUCAACCUCAAAUCCACCGGGACAGGAUGCUGGUAUUUAUAAUAAAGUGGGUUUAUAGACUGAAUGGUUUGACAUCUCAUAUACAGUCUGGUGGAAGCACAUGCUGCGGAGCGGUCUGCAAGGGGACAGCUAUCACAUGGUGCUCUGACUCAUUCAGAUGGAUUUUGGUUUCUCUUUGCUGCUUUUUUUUUUAACAUUUCUUUCAUUUAAUUUGGAAGGGACAGAGUCAAGUGCUCUGUUGCAGGAUCUGGUGCACUAAUGGAGUAAACAGUAUUGUGGACAUGUUGGCAAACUCUCAAUUUGACUUGGCUUUGCUGGUCUCCAAAGAGUUAUAUUAUUGGUUAUUUAUGAGUAUGCAGAUGACCUUUGGGCAGUGGGGAAAAUGUUUAUGAAUCUAAAAGGCUUUGCAAACUCUAGAACAAAAGCAUUUUUUUCUCAAAAAAAAAAAAGUGAACUGUGACUUUUUCAUCAUUCAGCCUUGCUUGUUCUCUUAUAUUAAAAGUCUUUGGUCAUUCAUUUGCACUGUAGAAUCAAACCAUGUAGCGCAGGUGAGCAGUCACAUGCCCUGAAUAACAAAAACUAAAAAUCCAAGUGAAAAAGGCAUGUGAGUAGCUCCAAGAGAGCAGCUGGGUUUGUUCAGAGGGCUGGUGAAGGCUGGGUUAUUCAAAGAAGACAAAGGGAGUUAGGUGAU